UGCAAGUCGAGCGGCAGCGCGGGGGCAACCCUGGCGGCGAGCGGCGAACGGGUGAGUAAUGUAUCGGAACGUACCCAGUCGUGGGGGAUAACUAUCCGAAAGGAUAGCUAAUACCGCAUACGUCCUGAGGGAGAAAGCGGGGGACCGAAAGGCCUCGCGCGAUUGGAGCGGCCGAUAUCGGAUUAGCUAGUUGGUGAGGUAAAGGCUCACCAAGGCGACGAUCCGUAGCUGGUCUGAGAGGACGACCAGCCACACUGGAACUGAGACACGGUCCAGACUCCUACGGGAGGCAGCAGUGGGGAAUUUUGGACAAUGGGGGCAACCCUGAUCCAGCCAUUCCGCGUGAGUGAAGAAGGCCUUCGGGUUGUAAAGCUCUUUCAGCAGGAACGAAACGGUGGCUCCUAAUACGAGUUACUAAUGACGGUACCUGAAGAAGAAGCACCGGCUAACUACGUGCCAGCAGCCGCGGUAAUACGUAGGGUGCGAGCGUUAAUCGGAAUUACUGGGCGUAAAGCGUGCGCAGGCGGUUAUAUAAGACAGAUGUGAAAUCCCCGGGCUUAACCUGGGAACUGCGUUUGUGACUGUAUAACUCGAGUGUGGCAGAGGGGGGUGGAAUUCCACGUGUAGCAGUGAAAUGCGUAGAGAUGUGGAGGAACACCGAUGGCGA
rnacentral:rRNA from 1 species